rnacentral:rRNA from 1 species
CCUACGGGAGGCAGCAGUGGGGAAUCUUGCGCAAUGGGCGAAAGCCUGACGCAGCAACGCCGCGUGCGGGAAGAAGGCUUUCGGGCUGUAAACCGCUUUCAGCAGGAACGAAAAUGACGGUACCUGCAGAAGAAGGAGCGGCCAACUAUGUGCCAGCAGCCGCGGCGAUACAUAGGCUUCAAGCGUUGUCCGGAUUUAUUGGGCGUAAAGAGUUCGUAGGCGGUCGAGUAAGUCGGGUGUGAAAAUUCUGGGCUCAACCCAGAGACGCCACCCGAUACUGCUUAACUUGAGUUCGAUAGGGGAGUGGGGAAUUCCUAGUGUAGCGGUGAAAUGCGCAGAUAUUAGGAGGAACACCGGUGGCGAAGGCGCCACUCUGGAUCGAUACUGACGCUGAGGAACGAAAGCAUGGGUAGCAAACAGGAUUAGAUACCCUGGUAGUCCAUGCCGUAAACGGUGGGCACUAGGUGUGGGAUUCUAUUAACGAAUUCCGCGCCGUCGCUAACGCAUUAAGUGCCCCGCCUGGGGAGGUACGGUCGCGAGACGAAACUACGAAGAAGUAAGUAGCGUUGAGAGUUGCGAGCGACGACGAGGGAGAGG